GCCAGGUGCGGUGGUGCACUCCUGUAAUCCCAGCGGCUUGGGAGGCUGAGGCAGGAGGAUCCUGAGUUCAAAGCCAGCCUCAGCAACUUAGUGAAGCCCUAAGCAAUUCAGUGAGACCUGUCUCUA
rnacentral:sRNA from 1 species